GAUGAACGCUGGCGGCGUGCCUAAUACAUGCAAGUCGAGCGAACAGACGAGGAGCUUGCUCCUCUGACGUUAGCGGCGGACGGGUGAGUAACACGUGGAUAACCUACCUAUAAGACUGGGAUAACUUCGGGAAACCGGAGCUAAUACCGGAUAAUAUAUUGAACCGCAUGGUUCAAUAGUGAAAGACGGUUUUGCUGUCACUUAUAGAUGGAUCCGCGCCGCAUUAGCUAGUUGGUAAGGUAACGGCUUACCAAGGCAACGAUGCGUAGCCGACCUGAGAGGGGGAUAGGCCACACGGGAACUGAGACACGGUCCAGACUCCUACGGGAGGCAGAAGUAGGGAAUCUUCCGCAAUGGGCGAAAGCCUGACGGAGCAACGCCGCGUGAGUGAUGAAGGUCUUCGGAUCGUAAAACUCUGUUAUUAGGGAAGAACAAAUGUGUAAGUAACUAUGCACGUCUUGACGGUACCUAAUCAGAAAGCCACGGCUAACUACGUG
rnacentral:rRNA from 1 species